CACGUAGGGGCCAAGCGUUGUCCGGAUUUAUUGGGCGUAAAGAGCUCGUAGGCGGUUCGACAAGUCGGGUGUGAAAACUCCGGGCUCAACCCGGAGACGCCACCCGAUACUGUCGUGACUGGAGUCCGGUAGGGGAGUGGGGAAUUCCUGGUGUAGCGGUGAAAUGCGCAGAUAUCAGGAGGAACACCGGUGGCGAAGGCGGGAUCCUGGGCCAGUACUGACGCUGAGGAGCGAAAGCGUGGGGAGCAACAGG
rnacentral:rRNA from 1 species